rnacentral:rRNA from 1 species
GAUGUUGGGUUAAGUCCCGCAACGAGCGCAAUCCUUAUCCUUAGUUGCCAGCACGUCUGGGUGGGCACUCUAAGGAAACUGCCGGUGCUAAGCCGGAGGAAGGUGGGGAUGACGUCAAGUCCUCAUGGCCCUUACACCCUGGGCUACACACGUGCUACAAUGGCAGUGACAAUGGGUUAAUCCCCAAAAACUGUCUCAGUUCGGAUUGUCGUCUGCAACUCGACGGCAUGAAGGUGGAAUCGCUAGUAAUCGUGGAUCAGCAUGCCACGGUGAAUACGUUCCCGGGCCUUGUACACACCGCCCGUCA